rnacentral:rRNA from 1 species
AGAGCGAACGCUGGCGGCAGGCCUAAAACAUGCAAGUCGAACGGACCCUUCGGGGUUAGUGGCGGACGGGUGAGUAACACGUGGGAACGUGCCUUUUGGUUCGGGACAAGCCGGGGAAACCUGGUCUAAUACCGGAUAAGCCCUUCGGGGGAAAGAUUUAUCGCCAUUAGAGCGGCCCGCGUUGGAUUAGCUAGUUGGUGAGGUAAAGGCUCACCAAGGCUACGAUCCAUAGCUGGUCUGAGAGGAUGAUCAGCCACACUGGGACUGAGACACGGCCCAGACUCCUACGGGAGGCAGCAGUUAGGAAUCUUGCGCAAUGGGCGAAAGCCUGACGCAGCCAUGCCGCGUGAAUGAUGAAGGUCUUAGGAUUGUAAAAUUCUUUCAGCGGGGAAGAUAAUGACUGUACCCGCAGAAGAAGCUCCGGCUAACUUCGUGCCAGCAGCCGC